GACGAACGCUGGCGGCGUGCUUAACACAUGCAAGUCGAACGAAGUGGCGAACGGGUGAGUAACGCGUAAUCAACCUGCCCUUCAGAGGGGGACAACAGUUGGAAACGACUGCUAAUACCGCAUACUGAAGGAGGGGAUUGCGUCUGAUUAGCUAGUUGGAGGGGUAACGGCCAACCAAGGCGAUGAUCAGUAGGCGGGCUGAGAGGGAUGACGGCCACAUUGGGACUGAGAAACGGCCCAGGCUCCUAAGGGGGGCAGCAGUGGGGAAUCUUCCGCAAUGGAGGAAAGUCUGACGGAGCAACGCCGCGUGAGUGAUGACGGCCUUCGGGUUGUAAAGCUAUGUUAAUCGGGACGCGGUACCGGAAGAGAAAGCCACGGCUAACUACGUGCCAGCAGCCGCGGUAAUUC
rnacentral:rRNA from 1 species